CAGUCGCCACGGUAAAACGGAGGAUCCGAGCGUUAUCCGGAAUUAUUGGGUUUAAAGGGUGCGUAGGCGGAUAGAUAAGUCAGUGGUGAAAGACGGUGGCUCAACCAUCGCAGUGCCGUUGAUACUGUUUAUCUUGAAUAUGGAUGAGGUAGGCGGAAUGUGGCAAGUAGCGGUGAAAUGCAUAGAUAUGCCACAGAACACCGAUUGCGAAGGCAGCUUACCAAGGCAAAAUUGACGCUGAGGCACGAAAGCGUGGGGAUCGAACAGGAUUAGAUACCCCUGUAGUCCCUGUCUCUUAUAC
rnacentral:rRNA from 1 species